rnacentral:snRNA from 1 species
GUGCUCGCCUCAGCAGCACAUAUACCAAAAUUGGAAAGAAGAUUAUCACGGUCCCUGUGCAAAGAUAACAGGCACGUUCGUGAAGCAUUCCAUUAAAAC